CCUACGGGGGGCAGCAGUGGGGAAUAUUGCACAAUGGGCGCAAGCCUGAUGCAGCCAUGCCGCGUGUGUGAAGAAGGCCUUCGGGUUGUAAAGCACUUUCAGCGGGGAGGAAGGCGUUAAGGUUAAUAACCUUGGCGAUUGACGUUACCCGCAGAAGAAGCACCGGCUAACUCCGUGCCAGCAGCCGCGGUAAUACGGAGGGUGCAAGCGUUAAUCGGAAUUACUGGGCGUAAAGCGCACGCAGGCGGUCUGUCAAGUCGGAUGUGAAAUCCCCGGGUUCAACCUGGGAACUGCAUUCGAAACUGGCAGGCUAGAGGCUUGUAGAGGGGGGUAGAAUUCCAGGUGGAGCGGUGAAAUGCGUAGAGAUCUGGAGGAAUACCGGUGGCGAAGGCGGCCCCCUGGACAAAGACUGACGCUCAGGUGCGAAAGCGUGGGGAGCAAACAGGAUUAGAUACCCCUGUAGUC
rnacentral:rRNA from 1 species